rnacentral:rRNA from 1 species
CCGGCACGGGUGAGUAACACGUAUCCAACCUGCCGUCUACUCUUGGCCAGCCUUCUGAGAGGAAGAUUAAUCCAGGAUGGGAUCAUGAGUUCACAUGUCCGCAUGAUUAAAGGUAUUUUCCGGUAGACGAUGGGGAUGCGUUCCAUUAGAUAGUAGGCGGGGUAACGGCCCACCUAGUCAACGAUGGAUAGGGGUUCUGAGAGGAAGGUCCCCCACAUUGGAACUGAGACACGGUCCAA